rnacentral:rRNA from 1 species
CAGUCGCCACGGUAAUACGUAGGGUGCAAGCGUUAAUCGGAAUUACUGGGCGUAAAGCGUGCGCAGGCGGUUUUGUAAGACAGAGGUGAAAUCCCCGGGCUCAACCUGGGAACUGCCUUUGUGACUGCAAGGCUAGAGUACGGCAGAGGGGGAUGGAAUUCCGCGUGUAGCAGUGAAAUGCGUAGAUAUGCGGAGGAACACCGAUGGCGAAGGCAAUCCCCUGGGCCUGUACUGACGCUCAUGCACGAAAGCGUGGGGAGCAAACAGGAUUAGAUACCCCCGUAGUCCCUGUCUCUUAUAC